CCCUUAGAUGUUCUGGGCAGCACGCGCGCUACAAUGGUCUUCGCAAACGGAUGCAUUCUCGAAGGAGAAUGCCAAUCUUGGAAUCUAUGCCUUGGUCGGGACAGUUGCUUGCAAUUUUUCGACUCGAACCAGGAAUUCCUUGUAAUCGUGAUUCAUCACAUCACGAUGAAUACGUCCCUGCCCUUUGUACACACCGCCCGUCGCUCCUACCGAUCGAAGAGUUAGGUGAAUUGUUUUGAUCGAUAAGAUUUGACUAUGGUCAACUCUCGUUGUGAAAUUCUGUGAAGCUGGCUGUUUAGAGGAAGGAAAAGUCGUAACA
rnacentral:rRNA from 1 species